UUAAGCGACUAAGCGUACACGGUGGAUGCCCUGGCAGUCAGAGGCGAUGAAGGACGUGCUAAUCUGCGAUAAGCGUCGGUAAGGUGAUAUGAACCGUUAUAACCGGCGAUUUCCGAAUGGGGAAACCCAGUGUGUUUCGACACACUAUCAUUAACUGAAUCCAUAGGUUAAUGAGGCGAACCGGGGGAACUGAAACAUCUAAGUACCCCGAGGAAAAGAAAUCAACCGAGAUUCCCCCAGUAGCGGCGAGCGAACGGGGAGGAGCCCAGAGCCUGAAUCAGUGUGUGUGUUAGUGGAAGCGUCUGGAAAGGCGUGCGAUACAGGGUGACAGCCCCGUACACAAAAAUGCACAUGCUGUGAGCUCGAUGAGUAGGGCGGGACACGUGGUAUCCUGUCUGAAUAUGGGGGGACCAUCCUCCAAGGCUAAAUACUCCUGACUGACCGAUAGUGAACCAGUACCGUGAGGGAAAGGCGAAAAGAACCCCGGCGAGGGGAGUGAAAAAGAACCUGAAACCGUGUACGUACAAGCAGUGGGAGCACGCUUAGGCGUGUGACUGCGUACCUUUUGUAUAAUGGGUCAGCGACUUAUAUUCUGUAGCAAGGUUAACCGAAUAGGGGAGCCGAAGGGAAACCGAGUCUUAACUGGGCGUUAAGUUGCAGGGUAUAGACCCGAAACCCGGUGAUCUAGCCAUGGGCAGGUUGAAGGUUGGGUAACACUAACUGGAGGACCGAACCGACUAAUGUUGAAAAAUUAGCGGAUGACUUGUGGCUGGGGGUGAAAGGCCAAUCAAACCGGGAGAUAGCUGGUUCUCCCCGAAAGCUAUUUAGGUAGCGCCUCGUGAACUCAUCUCCGGGGGUAGAGCACUGUUUCGGCAAGGGGGUCAUCCCGACUUACCAACCCGAUGCAAACUGCGAAUACCGGAGAAUGUUAUCACGGGAGACACACGGCGGGUGCUAACGUCCGUCGUGAAGAGGGAAACAACCCAGACCGCCAGCUAAGGUCCCAAAGUCAUGGUUAAGUGGGAAACGAUGUGGGAAGGCCCAGACAGCCAGGAUGUUGGCUUAGAAGCAGCCAUCAUUUAAAGAAAGCGUAAUAGCUCACUGGUCGAGUCGGCCUGCGCGGAAGAUGUAACGGGGCUAAACCAUGCACCGAAGCUGCGGCAGCGACGCUGAUGCGUUGUUGGGUAGGGGAGCGUUCUGUAAGCCUGCGAAGGUGUGCUGUGAGGCAUGCUGGAGGUAUCAGAAGUGCGAAUGCUGACAUAAGUAACGAUAAAGCGGGUGAAAAGCCCGCUCGCCGGAAGACCAAGGGUUCCUGUCCAACGUUAAUCGGGGCAGGGUGAGUCGACCCCUAAGGCGAGGCCGAAAGGCGUAGUCGAUGGGAAACAGGUUAAUAUUCCUGUACUUGGUGUUACUGCGAAGGGGGGACGGAGAAGGCUAUGUUGGCCGGGCGACGGUUGUCCCGGUUUAAGCGUGUAGGCUGGUUUUCCAGGCAAAUCCGGAAAAUCAAGGCUGAGGCGUGAUGACGAGGCACUACGGUGCUGAAGCAACAAAUGCCCUGCUUCCAGGAAAAGCCUCUAAGCAUCAGGUAACAUCAAAUCGUACCCCAAACCGACACAGGUGGUCAGGUAGAGAAUACCAAGGCGCUUGAGAGAACUCGGGUGAAGGAACUAGGCAAAAUGGUGCCGUAACUUCGGGAGAAGGCACGCUGAUAUGUAGGUGAAGUCCCUUGCGGAUGGAGCUGAAAUCAGUCGAAGAUACCAGCUGGCUGCAACUGUUUAUUAAAAACACAGCACUGUGCAAACACGAAAGUGGACGUAUACGGUGUGACGCCUGCCCGGUGCCGGAAGGUUAAUUGAUGGGGUCAGCGCAAGCGAAGCUCUUGAUCGAAGCCCCGGUAAACGGCGGCCGUAACUAUAACGGUCCUAAGGUAGCGAAAUUCCUUGUCGGGUAAGUUCCGACCUGCACGAAUGGCGUAAUGAUGGCCAGGCUGUCUCCACCCGAGACUCAGUGAAAUUGAACUCGCUGUGAAGAUGCAGUGUACCCGCGGCAAGACGGAAAGACCCCGUGAACCUUUACUAUAGCUUGACACUGAACAUUGAGCCUUGAUGUGUAGGAUAGGUGGGAGGCUUGGAAGUGUGGACGCCAGUCUGCAUGGAGCCGACCUUGAAAUACCACCCUUUAAUGUUUGAUGUUCUAACGUUGACCCGUAAUCCGGGUUGCGGACAGUGUCUGGUGGGUAGUUUGACUGGGGCGGUCUCCUCCUAAAGAGUAACGGAGGAGCACGAAGGUUGGCUAAUCCUGGUCGGACAUCAGGAGGUUAGUGCAAUGGCAUAAGCCAGCUUGACUGCGAGCGUGACGGCGCGAGCAGGUGCGAAAGCAGGUCAUAGUGAUCCGGUGGUUCUGAAUGGAAGGGCCAUCGCUCAACGGAUAAAAGGUACUCCGGGGAUAACAGGCUGAUACCGCCCAAGAGUUCAUAUCGACGGCGGUGUUUGGCACCUCGAUGUCGGCUCAUCACAUCCUGGGGCUGAAGUAGGUCCCAAGGGUAUGGCUGUUCGCCAUUUAAAGUGGUACGCGAGCUGGGUUUAGAACGUCGUGAGACAGUUCGGUCCCUAUCUGCCGUGGGCGCUGGAGAACUGAGGGGGGCUGCUCCUAGUACGAGAGGACCGGAGUGGACGCAUCACUGGUGUUCGGGUUGUCAUGCCAAUGGCACUGCCCGGUAGCUAAAUGCGGAAGAGAUAAGUGCUGAAAGCAUCUAAGCACGAAACUUGCCCCGAGAUGAGUUCUCCCUGACCCUUUAAGGGUCCUGAAGGAACGUUGAAGACGACGACGUUGAUAGGCCGGGUGUGUAAGCGCAGCGAUGCGUUGAGCUAACCGGUACUAAUGAACCGUGAGGCUUAACCUU
rnacentral:rRNA from 1 species